AUUUUUUGGACCCCCUUUUAAUCCAAAGGGGUAGGAAAUGCUCUGGAAGUUGCCACAGGAAAGUGGAAUAUCACAGAGAUACUGGUUUUUCUCAGCCCCGCAAGUUACAGAAAAUAGAAAGAAAAAAAGGAAGAACUAGAUAACUUGCAGAAAAUAGGACCCUGAACAUGACGACAGAGCGAAAGAUAGACUCUUCUCCAGCACUACAACAUACAGUGGAUAAUCCUCUGUUUUUUUUCUUUAAGAUGUUUUGGCUAAUUAGACUUGUAAGAGGAAAAAGAAACCUGAUGGUUCACUUCCGUUAUUUUCUUUUGGACUUGAUAAUUCAC
rnacentral:lncRNA from 1 species